GUGUGUGUGUGAGUCUGUGCGUGCUUGUUACUUCUGGGGAUGUGUGUAAUUGCGUGCAUGCCUGUGUGUGGUUGCACAGGCUUCGAUCCCUUUAUGCUUGGUACUCCGGGGGAUCUGUUCAGAGGCUGGAAUGCAACCGCAGGCAGAUGCUUGUCUUUUCUCAACAGUGGCAAGGAAAGGAGAAGGAGGAAGACACAGCCAUAAGGGGCUUGCUGGCAAAACACGGGUUAUACACCAGGUGCCUUGCCUGAAACUUGAAGACUGGGACGAGAUUGCUCCAAACAAAAGUAGCAAAGUGCAGAGCCAGAGAAUUCUCUGGACACAAAGGCUUUGCAAUAGAGAACUGUAUAAUGCAGCCAGCAGGUCAGCUGCAAACCAAUGCCCCUGCCCCGCAGCCCAGGGUAACUAGAUUCCUUACCGUCCUUGGGGACAGAGAUGCCCACAGCACUAACUUCAGCCAGGAAACAGAAACCAGCAAGCUGCAAGGGUCGGGAGCACCGUCUCCUUGAGAGAUUAGCCGCAAGCACCAGUUGGUUUGCAUAAGGCAUGGAGAGUUGCCUGGGAGGACUUUGUCCUCAAGAUCCUUCUGCAUCCAAGAGCACAGGAGCUAAGAUCUUCCCUUGAUCCAACUGGCAUGAGUUCAAUCAAGGCCGACUCGUCGGAAGAGGAGGCUGCCAAAACAGAGCUGCCUUAGCCCAGGGUCCACGGAGGACAAGCACUGGCAUCAGCAGACCCGGCACCUCUGGUGGCCGUGUUGGCAGACAAAGCCCUCAACCCCUCUGCCAAGGCACCGACACUGAUGGACAGUAACAGCAGUACCUUCAGCAGCUCCUUGUGGCAUCUUUGAACAAAGACCAUAUGAGGACACAGCAAGGAGACAAUUUUCUGCACCUCCAAGACAGAAGCCCCAGCAGACACUGAGCCUGCGGGACUUCCAGACCCCAGCACUGUGAGAAAUAAGCCACCCGGUCUUAAGUUCUGGAAAGCAGCCACCUUGAAUUAAGACAUGUCAUAUAGUGGAAAGGGAUGAAAUUUAGCACCAGAAAACCUGUGUCAACUCUUGUCCUUGCUUACCCUCUUUGUGUCUCAGUUUCCUUAUCUAUAGAAUGGGGAACUAGAAGUCCCUUCACUCCCCAUAUCACAAGGUCAUGGUGAGAAUCCAGAGAGAUGAGGUUUGUAAACUGCCAACAGAAUUGCUCUUCUGUUGGAGGUCUUUAAUGAUGUUUUGCUGGGAAUCUGCCACUAAAAUUGAAAUCCAAAAAUUGCUUAGGCAAAAGAAGUAAAAAUAUGGGAAAUGGGAAAAGAGGUAGGUUAAGAGCUCUACUUUUUUUUUUUUUUUUAAGUGCUGGAGGGUUGAACUCAUGCAAGCAAAUUGUUUUAAGUGAAUUUUUAUGGUUUGGUUGUCUAAAAAACAAUCUGACAUAGCUUUCAAAAUCUUGUUUAUUAGAACUCAAAAUUCUUGUAAUUCUACUUGUUUAUGUUAUGUGAUUAUUUUAUAUUUUAUAGUGUUUAUAUCUUAUAUUAUAUGGCAUUUUCUAUGACACUGAUAUACAGAAUCUGACAAAUUGGCAAAUUAGUUAUAUGAAAAUAUAUACUGGAUAUGAAAUACAGUAACUAAGAUAUAAAUGACCUGAGGUUAAAAAUGGUACCUGUUUUUCAGGAUUGAACUUAUCCUAUGUUAGCACAAAUGGCACCUGGUGGCAGUAGGUGAUACUUAAGCCCAGCUUUUAUGGACUUAUUUUCUGACUUUUUAGAAAUAUGUAUUUUUUUUUUAUUUUAGAGCAGAUUUAGAUUUAUAGAAAAAUAGUGAAGCUAGGACACAGAGUUCCUAUAAACUCCAUACCUAGUUCCCUCUAUUGUUAAUGUCUGUCACAACAAAUGAACCAACAUGGAUACAUUAUUAUUAACUAGAGUCCAUACUUUAUUCAAAAGUCCUUAGUUUUCAUCUGUUGCUCCUUUUUGGUUCCAGGGUUCCAUCCAGGACUCCACGGUGCAUUCAGCUGUCAUGUUUCUUUUAAGCCCCUCUUGGCUUUGAUGGUUUCCCAGACUUUCCUUGUUUUUGAUAACCUUGAUGAUUUUAAGGAGUAUUGGUCAGGUAUUUUGCAGAAUAGCACUCUGUUUGGUUUGUCUGAUGUUUUGCUCAUGGUUGGACUGAGGUUAUGAGCUUUGGGGAGGAAGAUUUAUAGACACUACUUAAAUUUGGGGAUAUUCCAGUAGAGAGUCAGACAGUUCUCUGGCACAAGGAAAAAUCUUUUUGGCCUGAAGCAGCAUGGUCCACGGUGGAUAUCUCACAACUGGGAAAGUGCUGAAAAUACAAAGAGAAUCUUCCAGCAAAGUUUAGUAGGCUUAACUAAUCCUAGGAUGCCACAGAUUGCCACAGGUCUCUUCAUUAUGUUAAAUCCUUUCUUUCUGAGGAUUUUCAACACAGUCUCCUGUUGUAUGCUUUUUCUGUUUUGUUUUUUGUUUUGUUUUGUUUUGUUGGGGGGAAAGACUUUCAGUUUUGUAAUAGAAUUUAACUUGAAAACAGUGUUUAUUUGAGAGAAAUCCUCUUAUAGGCAAUGUCAGUGAACUACCUUAGAUAUCUGAAACUCCAUGUUAUCCCAAACAUAAAUGCAUGAAUGAGAACAUGGGGGUCUAUGUGCUGGAAAGAACUCUGUAACCCUGCUUCUCACAAACAUUCCUUCCAGUGGAAGGGUAAAAUUAAUGAAGUCUCUCCCACACCACAAACCUGGGACAUGAUUUAAAAAUGGAAUGGAAAAUACAGUCUCUAGACGCAGGUCAUACCGGGACAGGCUGAUAGUAUACGACCCAGGACAACCAAGUCUGAAUUUGAAUCCAAGAAAUUGCAGGGCUCCUGAAAUACUCCUCCCAAGAAUUAACUACUCUAUUUAAUUUUCUACAAGGGCUAUGCUGUUAGUAAAAGGUAAAACAAUUUUCCAAAUAUAGAAAAAAAUAUAAACAUUAUGUAACACA